rnacentral:rRNA from 1 species
AUUGAACGCUGGCGGAAUGCUUUACACAUGCAAGUCGAACGGCAGCACGGGGGCAACCCUGGUGGCGAGUGGCGAACGGGUGAGUAAUACAUCGGAACGUGCCCGGUCGUGGGGGAUAACGUAGCGAAAGUUACGCUAAUACCGCAUACGAUCUGAGGAUGAAAGCGGGGGACCUUCGGGCCUCGCGCGAUCGGAGCGGCCGAUGUCAGAUUAGGUAGUUGGUGGGGUAAAGGCCUACCAAGCCGACGAUCUGUAGCUGGACUGAGAGGACGACCAGCCACACUGGGACUGAGACACGGCCCAGACUCCUACGGGAGGCAGCAGUGGGGAAUUUUGGACAAUGGGCGCAAGCCUGAUCCAGCCAUUCCGCGUGCAGGACGAAGGCCUUCGGGUUGUAAACUGCUUUUGUAUGGAACGAAAAGGCUCUGGCUAAUACCUGGGGCUCAUGACGGUACCGUAAGAAUAAGCACCGGCUAACUACGUG